CUGUGCAGGUUGUAUAUGAGACAGAUUGACUUUCAGUGACAUUAUCAGCCGCUCUUGUAAAUCCAGUGAAUGUAUAUGUCUCCCCAGGUGUCAGAUUAGUUAUAUUAACAGUUUGAUUUGUCACAAUAAUUUCAUUUAUCACGACAGAUGAUGAAUUUGCUGUUAGUAUUCUGUAUUUAUAUUCAGCCUUGUACUCGUCAGGUUGAUCCCAAAUCAGGGAAACAGAAUAUGAUGUUUUGCCAUUGUCUCUGAGGAGUUUCACUUCGUUUGGUUCUAGAGCGAGAAAAUAAAACAUGAUUUUCCUUUAAGUUAUAGCUAAGUUCAUGACAAUUACAAUUAUUUAUAUAGCGCCAAC